rnacentral:miRNA from 12 species
UUUCUGGAAGCUCAACCCUUUUGGGGGGUCAAACUGUACGUUCUAUGUGGCAAUCUUAGAAAUUCAUAAGCGUAUAGCUUUUCCCCUUAAAAGUUGAAGCAAAGUCAA